ACACGGACCUUAUGGGACGUGUGCUUUUAUUAGGCUAAAACCAAGCGAUCGCAAGAUCGUUACAUUGGUUGAAUUCUAGAUAACAUGCAGAUCGUAUGGUUUAGUACCGACGACAGAUCUUUCAAAUGUCUGCCCUAUCAACUUUGAUGGUAGUAUCUAGGACUACCAUGGUUGCAACGGGUAACGGGGAAUCAGGGUUCGAUUCCGGAGAGGGAGCCUGAGAAACGGCUACCACAUCUAAGGAAGGCAGCAGGCGCGUAAAUUACCCACUCCCAGCUCGGGGAGGUACACUUUAAAUCCUUUAACAAGGACCAAUUGGAGGGCAAGUCUGGUGCCAGCAGCCGCGGUAAUUCCAGCUCCAAUAGCGUAUAUUAAAGUUGUUGCGGUUAAAACUUUCGUAGUUGAACUUGUGCUUCAUACGGGUAGUACAACUUACAAUUGUGGUUAGUACUAUACCUUUAUGUAUGUAAGCGUAUUACCGGUGGAGUUCUUUAUAUAAUUAAGUACUUGUAUUUUUUAUAUAUUCCUCCUAUUUAAAACCCUGCAUUAGUGCUCUUCAUCGAGUGUUAUUGUGGGCCGGUACAAUUACUUUGAACAAAUUAGAGUGCUUAAAGCAGGCUUCAAAUGCCUGAAUAUUCUGUGCAUGGGAUAAUGAAAUAAGACCUCUGUUCUGCUUUCAUUGGUUUUCAGAUCAAGAGGUAAUGAUUAAUAGAAGCAGUUUGGGGGCAUUAGUAUUACGACGCGAGAGGUGAAAUUCUUGGACCGUCGUAAGACUAACUUAAGCGAAAGCAUUUGCCAAAGAUGUUUUCAUUAAUCAAGAACGAAAGUUAGAGGUUCGAAGGCGAUCAGAUACCGCCCUAGUUCUAACCAUAAACGAUGCCAGCUAGCAAUUGGGUGUAGCUACUUUUAUGGCUCUCUCAGUCGCUUCCCGGGAAACCAAAGCUUUUUGGCUCCGGGGGAAGUAUGGUUGCAAAGCUGAAACUUAAAGGAAUUGACGGAAGGGCACCACCAGGAGUGGAGCCUGCGGCUUAAUUUGACUCAACACGGGAAAACAUACCAGGUCCGAACAUAAGUGUGUAAGACAGAUUGAUAGCUCUUUCUCGAAUCUAUGGGUGGUGGUGCAUGGCCGUUCUUAGUUCGUGGAGUGAUUUGUCUGGUUAAUUCCGAUAACGAACGAGACUCAAAUAUAUUAAAUAGAUAUCUUCAGGAUUAUGGUGUUGAAGCUUAUAAAGCCUUCAUUCAUGGUGGCAGUAAAAUGUUUAUUGUGUUUGAAUGUGUUUAUAUAAGUGGAGCCGUACCUGUUGGUUUGUCCCAUUAUAAGGACACUAGCUUCUUAAAUGGACAAAUUGCGUCUAGCAAUAAUGAGAUUGAGCAAUAACAGGUCUGUGAUGCCCUUAGAUGUCCUGGGCUGCACGCGCGCUACAAUGAAAGUAUCAACGUGUAUUUCCUAGACCGAGAGGUCCGGGUAAACCGCUGAACCACUUUCAUGCUUGGGAUUGUGAACUGAAACUGUUCACAUGAACUUGGAAUUCCCAGUAAGUGUGAGUCAUUAACUCGCAUUGAUUACGUCCCUGCCCUUUGUACACACCGCCCGUCGCUACUACCGAUUGAAUUAUUUAGUGAGGUCUCCGGACGUGAUCACUGUGACGCCUUGCGUGUUACGGUUGUUUCGCAAAAGUUGACCGAAGAAGUAAAAGUCGUAACAAGGUUUCCGUAGGUGAACCUGCGGAAG
rnacentral:rRNA from 1 species